GGGAUCGCCCUUCCUACGGGAGGCAGCAGUAAGGAAUAUUGGUCAAUGGAGGCAACUCUGAACCAGCCAUGCCGCGUGCAGGAAGACGGCCCUAUGGGUUGUAAACUGCUUUUAUUCGGGAAUAAACCCUUUUACGUGCAAGAGGUUGAAUGUACCGAAAGAAUAAGGAUCGGCUAACUCCGUGCCAGCAGCCGCGGUAAUAAGGGCGAUCC
rnacentral:rRNA from 1 species